GCUUUCAGAGUGGGACUAAGCCAUGCGAGUCGACACAGCAAUGUGUGGCAUACGGCUCAGUAACACGUAGUCAACAUGCCCAGGGGACGUGGAUAACCUCGGGAAACUGAGGAUAAACCGCGAUAGGUCACUACUUCUGGAAUGGGUAAUGACCCAAACCUACAUGGCCCCUGGAUUGGACUGCGGCCGACCAGGCUGUUGGUGAGGUAAUGGCCCACCAAACCUGUAACCGGUACGGGCUCUGAGAGGAGGAGCCCGGAGAUGGGCACUGAGACAAGGGCCCAGGCCCUAUGGGGCGCAGCAGGCGCGAAACCUCUGCAAUAGGCGAAAGCUUGACAGGGUUACUCUGAGUGAUUUCCGUUAAGGAGAUCUUUUGGCGCCUCUAAAAAUGGUGCAGAAUAAGGGGUGGGCAAGUCUGGUGUCAGCCGCCGCGGUAAUACCAGCACCCCGAGUGGUCGGGACGUUUAUUGGGCCUAAAGCAUCCGUAGCCGGUUCUACAAGUCUUCCGUUAAAUCCACCUGCUCAACAGAUGGGCUGCGGAAGAUACUAUGGAGCUAGGAGGCGGGARGGGCAAGCGGUACUCGAUGGGUAGGGGUAAAAUCCGUUGAUCCAUUGAAGACCACCAGUGGCGAARGCGGCUUGCCA
rnacentral:rRNA from 1 species